AUGUCGGGGCGCGGCAAGGGAGGCAAGGGGCUCGGCAAGGGCGGCGCCAAGCGCCACCGGAAGGUCCUCCGCGACAACAUCCAGGGCAUCACCAAGCCGGCGAUCCGUCGUCUGGCGCGUCGGGGCGGCGUGAAGCGCAUCUCGGGGCUCAUCUACGAGGAGACCCGCGGCGUGCUCAAGAUCUUCCUCGAGAACGUCAUCCGCGACGCCGUCACCUACACCGAGCACGCCCGCCGCAAGACCGUCACCGCCAUGGACGUCGUCUACGCCCUCAAGCGCCAGGGACGCACCCUCUACGGAUUCGGAGGCUAG
rnacentral:rRNA from 1 species